GAUGAACGCUAGCGGCAGGCUUAACACAUGCAAGUCGAGGGGUAUGGUAGCAAUACCAGAGACCGGCGCACGGGUGCGUAACGCGUAUGCAAUCUACCUUUACAGAGGAUAGCCCAGAGAAAUUUGGAUUAAUACCUCAUAGUAUAGCUGUACCGCAUGGUACUACUAUUAAAGUCACAACGGUAAAGAUGAGCAUGCGUCCCAUUAGCUAGUUGGUAAGUACGCUUACCAAGGCUACGAUGGGUAGGGUCCUGAGAGGGAGAUCCCCCACACUGGUACUGAGACACGGACCAGACUCCUACGGGAGGCAGCAGUGAGGAAUAUUGGACAAUGGGCGCAAGCCUGAUCCAGCCAUGCCGCGUGCAGGAUGACGGUCCUAUGGAUU
rnacentral:rRNA from 1 species